rnacentral:rRNA from 1 species
AUUGAACGCUGGCGGCAGGCCUAACACAUGCAAGUCGAACGAGUGGCGGACGGGUGAGUACUGUCUGGGAAACUGCCCGAUGGAGGGGGAUAACUACUGGAAACGGUAGCUAAUACCGCAUACCAUCGGAUGUGCCCAGAUGGGAUUAGCUAGUAGGUGGGGUAAAGGCUCACCUAGGCGACGAUCCCUAGCUGGUCUGAGAGGAUGACCAGCCACACUGGAACUGAGACACGGUCCAGACGCCUACGGGAGGCAGCAUUGGGGAAUAUUGCACAAUGGGCGCAAGCCUGAUGCAGCCAUGCCGCGUGUAUGAAGAAGGCCUUCGGGUUGUAAAGUACUUUCAGCGGUGAGGCGUUACUCGCAGAAGAAGCACCGGCUAACUCCGUGCCAGCAGCCGCGGUAAGUC